rnacentral:rRNA from 1 species
GAUGAACGCUGGCGGCGUGCCUAAUACAUGCAAGUCGAGCGAAUGGAUUAAGAGCUUGCUCUUAUGAAGUUAGCGGCGGACGGGUGAGUAACACGUGGGUAACCUGCUCAUAAGACUGGGAUAACUCCGGGAAACCGGGGCUAAUACCGGAUAACAUUUUGAACCGCAUGGUUCGAAAUUGAAAGGCGGCUUCGGCUGUCACUUAUGGAUGGACCCGCGUCGCAUUAGCUAGUUGGUGAGGUAACGGCUCACCAAGGCAACGAUGCGUAGCCGACCUGAGAGGGUGAUCGGCCACACUGGGACUGAGACACGGCCCAGACUCCUACGGGAGGCAGCAGUAGGGAAUCUUCCGCAAUGGACGAAAGUCUGACGGAGCAACGCCGCGUGAGUGAUGAAGGCUUUCGGGUCGUAAAACUCUGUUGUUAGGGAAGAACAAGUGCUAGUUGAAUAAGCUGACACCUUGACGGUACCUAACCAGGAAGCCACGGCUAACUACGUGCCAGCCGCCGCAGUAA